rnacentral:rRNA from 1 species
GACGAACGCUGGCGGCGUGCUUAACACAUGCAAGUCGAACGAAGUGGCGAACGGGUGAGUAACGCGUAAUCAACCUGCCCUUCAGAGGGGAACAACAGUUGGAAACGACUGCUAAUACCGCAUAGUGAAGGAGGGGAUUGCGUCUGAUUAGCUAGUUGGAGGGGUAACGGCCCACCAAGGCGAUGAUCAGUAGCCGGUCUGAGGGGAUGAACGGCACAAUGGGGACCGAGAAACGGCCCAGAAUCCUACGGGAGGCAGCAGUGGGGAAUCUUCCGCAAUGGACGAAAGGCUGACGGAGCAACGCCGCGUGAGUGGUGACGGCCUUCGGGUUGGAAAGCUCUGUUAAUCGGGACGCGGUACCGGAAUAGAAAGCCACGGCUAACUACGUGCCAGCAGCCGCGGUAAUAC